UACGGGGGGGGCAAGCGUUGUUCGGAAUUACUGGGCGUAAAGGGCUCGUAGGUGGCCAACUAAGUCAGACGUGAAAUCCCUCGGCUUAACCGGGGGAACUGCGUCUGAUACUGGAUGGCUUGAGUUUGGGAGAGGGACGCGGAAUUCCAGGUGUAGCGGUGAAAUGCGUAGAUAUCUGGAGGAACACCGGUGGCGAAGGCGGCGUCCUGGACCAACACUGACACUGAGGAGCGAAAGCCAGGGGAGCAAACGGG
rnacentral:rRNA from 1 species